UACAUGUGGGGCAAGCGUUGUUCGGAAUUACUGGGCAUAAAGGGUGCGUAGGCGGUUUGUUAAGUCACUGGUGAAAGUUUUCGGCCCAACCGGAAAAUUGCCUGUGAUACUGGCGAACUUGGGUGCGUGAGGGGUGGGGGGAACGAGCAGUGUAGCGGUGAAAUGCGUAGAUAUUGCUCGGAAGGCCGGAGCCGAAGGGGCCCCACUGGUACGUAACUGACGCUGAGGCACGAAAGCGUGGGGAGCAAACAGG
rnacentral:rRNA from 1 species